CCUACGGGAGGCAGCAGUGGGGAAUAUUGGACAAUGGGCGAAAGCCUGAUCCAGCAAUGCCGCGUGAGUGAUGAAGGCCUUAGGGUUGUAAAGCUCUUUUACCAGGGAUGAUAAUGACAGUACCUGGAGAAUAAGCUCCGGCUAACUCCGUGCCAGCAGCCGCGGUAAUACGGAGGGAGCUAGCGUUAUUCGGAAUUACUGGGCGUAAAGCGUACGUAGGCGGUUAUUCAAGUCAGAGGUGAAAGCCCGGGGCUCAACCCCGGAACUGCCUUUGAAACUAGAUAACUAGAGUCUUGGAGAGGUUAGUGGAAUUCCGAGUGUAGAGGUGAAAUUCGUAGAUAUUCGGAAGAACACCAGUGGCGAAGGCGACUAACUGGACAAGUACUGACGCUGAGGUACGAAAGCGUGGGGAGCAAACAGGAUUAGAUACCCUGGUAGUCCACGCCGUAAACGAUGAUAACUAGCUGUCCGGGCACUUGGUGCCUGGGUGGCGCAGCUACGACAUUAAGUUAUCCGUCCGUCGGGUAGGUACGGUCGCGAGAAUUAAACUAACAAUAGAAUUAGUACGGCGUGAGACGUGCCGACGGACGACGACGAGGGAGGUAGG
rnacentral:rRNA from 1 species